rnacentral:rRNA from 1 species
AGAGUUUGAUCAUGGCUCAGAUUGAACGUUGGCGGCAGGCCUGAUACAUGCAAGUCGAACGGUAACAGCGGAGCUUGCUCCGGCUGACGAGUGGCGAACGGGUGAGUAACGCGUGGAUAACGUACCUUUAGGCUUGGAAUAACUUGUUGAAAAAUAAGCUAAUACCAAAUAUACUUAUUUAGGUUAGCCUAGUAUAAGAAAAGAGGGGUAUCUCUUACCUAAAGAUCGGUCCGCGUCCCAUCAGCUUGUUGGUAAGGUAAAUGCUUACCAAGGCUACGACGGGUAGCUGGUCUGAGAGGAUGAUCAGCCACACUGGGACUGAGACACGGCCCAGACUCUUGCGGGAGGCAGCAGUGGGGAAUAUUGGUCAAUGGGCGAAAGCCUGAACCAGCAAUGUCGCGUGAGUGAUGAAGGCCUUAGGGUUGUAAAGCUCUGUCAGUGGGAACGAAGAUUUUUUGGUAAUUCUUGAAAUUUGACGGUACCUAAAAAGGAAGCACCGGCAAACUUUGUGCCAGCAGCCGCGGUAAUACAAAGGGUGCGAGCGUUGUUCGGAAUUAUUGGGCGUAAAGAGCGUGUAGGCGGUUUAAUUAGUCAGUCGUGAAAUCCCUAGGCUUAACCUAGGAACUGCGGUUGAAACUGUUAUACUUGAGUAUCAUAGGGGGUGGCGGAAUUCCCGGUGUAGAGGUGAAAUUCGUAGAUAUCGGGAGGAACACCUGUGGCGAAGGCGGCCAUCUGGAGGAUAACUGACGCUGAGACGCGAAAGCGUGGGUAGCAAACAGGAUUAGAUACCCUGGUAGUCCACGCCGUAAACGAUGAUCACUAGAUGUGGGACUCCUUUGGGGGUUCCGUGUCGAAGCUAACGCGUUAAGUGAUCCGCCUGGGGAGUAC